AAUUGCUAGUAAUGGCAGGUCAGCAUACUGCCGUGAAUACGUUCCCGGGCCCUUGUACACACCGCCCGUCACACCAUGAGAGUUGGGAAUACCCGAAGCCUGUGAGCUAACUUUUAGAGGCAGCAGUCGAAGGUAGAAUCAAUGAUUGGGGUGAAGUCGUAACAAGGUAGC
rnacentral:rRNA from 1 species